rfam:Merops nubicus contig100789, whole genome shotgun sequence.
CUAGGAGAACCGAAAACAGUUCUAGACUGACCUGGGGUUUUAUAGCACUUUGGCAGUCAACUUCAGCUUGUGUCAGCGCAGACAUGACAGAGCUGCCCAACGCUUAAUCGCGGGACGCCACCUCCUCGGACUUACUGCAGCCCCCACUCUUGCCUUUCAAUAAAUUUCAAACGCUGGGGCUAGAAAUGGGGAGCAGAGCUG